UACGGGGGGGCAAGCGUUGUUCGGAAUUACUGGGCGUAAAGGGCGCGACUGAGAGCGGCCUGCUAAGUCACACGUGAAAUCCCUCGGCUCAACCGGGGAACUGCGUGUGAUACUGGCGGGCUUGAAUUCGGGAGAGGGAUGGUGGAAUUCCAGGUGUAGCGGUGAAAUGCGUAGAUAUCUGGAGGAACACCGGUGGCGAAGGCGGCAUCCUGGACCGAGAUUGACGCUGAGGCGCGAAAGCGUGGGGAGCAAACAGGG
rnacentral:rRNA from 1 species